CCUACGGGAGGCAGCAGUAGGGAAUAUUGCGCAAUGGGCGAAAGCCUGACGCAGCCACGCCGCGUGAGUGAGGAAGGCCUUCGGGUUGUAAGGCUCUGUCAUCUGGGAAAAACAGACAGGAGGGGAAAGUUCUCUUGUUUUGAUGGUACCAGAGGAGGAAGCACCGGCAAACUCUGUGCCAGCAGCCGCGGUAAUACAGAGGGUGCAAGCGUUGUUCGGAAUUACUGGGCGUAAAGCGUGCGUAGGCGGUAUUGAGAGUCACGGGUGAAAUCCCCAAGCUUAACUUGGGAACUGCCUGUGAGACCUCAGUACUAGAGUGCGAGAGAGGAUAGUGGAAUUCCUAGUGUAGCGGUGAAAUGCGUAGAGAUUAGGAAGAACACCGGUGGCGAAGGCGACUAUCUGGCUCGUAACUGACGCUCAGGCACGAAAGCGUGGGGAGCAAACAGGAUUAGAUACCCUGGUAGUCCACGCCGUAAACUAUGCAUACAAGAUGUGGUGGGUUUUUUCUCCUGCCGUGUCGAAGCUAACGCAAUUAGUAUGCCGCCUGGGGAGUACGGUCGCAAGACUAAAACUCAAAGGAAUUGACGG
rnacentral:rRNA from 1 species